rnacentral:rRNA from 1 species
UGGGGAAUUUUGGACAAUGGGGGCAACCCUGAUCCAGCCAUGCCGCGUGUGUGAAGAAGGCCUUCGGUUGUAAAGCACUUUCGGCCGGAACGAAAUCGCGCGAGUUAACACCCCGCCGUGGAUGACGGUACCGGAAGAAGAAGCACCGGCUAACUACGUGCCAGCAGCCGCGGUAAUACGUAGGGUGCGAGCGUUAAUCGGAAUUACUGGGCGUAAAGUGUGCGCAGGUGGCCGCGCAUGUCGAGUGUGAAAUCCCCGGGCUUAACUUGGGAAUUGCGCUCGAAACUACGUGGCUAGAGUGUGGCAGAGGGAGGUGGAAUUCCACGUGUAGCGGUGAAAUGCGUAGAGAUGUGGGAGGAACACCAAUGGCGAAGGCAGCCUCCUGGGCCAACACUGACACUCAUGCACGAAAGCGUGGGGAGCAAACAGGAUUAGAUACCCUGGUAGUCCACGCCCUAAACGAUGAUGACUAGUUGUUGGAGGAGUUAAAUCCUUUAGUAAC